rnacentral:rRNA from 1 species
GAUGAACGCUGGCGGCGUGCUUAACACAUGCAAGUCGAACGGAAAGGCCCAAGCUUGCUUGGGUACUCGAGUGGCGAACGGGUGAGUAACACGUGGGUGAUCUGCCCUGCACUUCGGGAUAAGCCUGGGAAACUGGGUCUAAUACCGGAUAGGACCACAUUUUGGAUGGUGUGGUGGAAAGUUUUUCGGUGUGGGAUGAGCUCGCGGCCUAUCAGCUUGUUGGUGGGGUAAUGGCCUACCAAGGCGUCGACGGGUAGCCGGCCUGAGAGGGUGUACGGCCACAUUGGGACUGAGAUACGGCCCAGACGCCUACGGGAGGCAGCAGUGGGGAAUAUUGCACAAUGGGCGCAAGCCUGAUGCAGCGACGCCGCGUGGGGGAUGACGGCCUUCGGGUUGUAAACGCCUUUCGCUAGGGACGAAGCGUUAUGUGACGGUACCUGGAGAAGAAGCACCGGCUAACUACGUG